ensembl:lncRNA
GGGAAAUGUAGUCUAUUGUUAUAGUAGUGACCAACACUGAAAACUGGGUCUGAUUGCGUUGGUUGUGUUAAAGAGGUGUAAAUGUGGUUCAGUCGGUUUAGUAGUUAGUUAACUGUCCUGUCAGAAACAGGGGCUACAGUUCUGUAAUUCUGUUUAGACGUGGUCAAGCUUCGUCGCCUUGCGUUUGGGAUUUUCCUUUCAGGUUACAACUUCAAGGAAGUAGACGCUGAAAGUCCGUUCAUGGAAAAGUAAGCUAAGUAAGUUACAGGUAGACGUUUCAUAUAACGUAACGUUAGUAAUAUCUUGUGAUAGUUGUAUAGCCAUGUUUGUGAACUUAUUGUGGUCUUUUCUUUCAGCGGUGUUUUGUACGUUGUAGUUUCAAGUGAGCCUCGCUUUUCACGCUUUCUUCAUGUUUUCCAGUCGUGGGUGGAGCAGACUAAAGCCAUACAUAACUGAGCUGCAGAUGUCCACAAGGUCCAGCGAUGGCAUCCUCAACACAGAUGUCUCAUGAUUUCGCACCAGGGACAGACGUAAGGGAGACAGUGAAGGCUCGUCUGUUGGCAUCGCAGAAGCUCCUGGUAGUAUCUUUAUACAAUGUGGCCCCACUCCUGGACUGUGUCCUGGCUGCUAGUCUUCUGUCUCAGGAUAACUACCAUGAGAUAAAAGCUGAAAAGACCCCGCAAAACCGUGCCCGCAAACUGCUCGAGAUUGUCCAGGCUCAAAUGGACGAAAGUGAGGCCACUCGCUUUCUGGAGUGUCUGAGAGAAUGCAAGCAGCACUACCCACGUCUGCGCACCUGGCUGUCUGCUGAAACAGAGAUCCCAAGUGGACCUACAGAGCGGCAGUUACAGGCCCACUUUUAUUCUCUGUGUGGCCGUAUGAGCUCCUCUGUGCUGCCCAUCUCUCUGGCUCUCUUCUCCAGCAGCACCUUGACCCAGUUUGACCUUGAGCGGAUCCAGGCAGCACCCACCCCCACCCAGCAGACCCAAACCCUGCUGUCCAUCUGCCUGUCUAAAGGAGAGAACGCAUGCAAAAGCUUCUAUGAGGCUCUUUACAGUGAAGACCAGCAGUUAGCUGAGGAUAUGAAUGUUACUAGUUUGGAGAAGGAUCUACCAAGUCUGUCGCUUAACUGCGAUUCUGAGUCCAGCAGUGUUGCCAUAGCAGUGGAGGAGACCAGAGACACAGCAAGACACCUGCCUUACUCAGGAGUACUGCAGCAGGUCAAGGCUCAGCUGGGAGAAGCUGUGGGAGAUGAAGCCAGACUAAACGUGUGUGAGCUUGGGGUGGCAGUGGGGCUGCCACGCUGGACGGUCAGAGAGUGUCUUCUGGAGGGAGUCAGCAUAGAGGAUGCUUCUCAGCUGGAGGCUGUGGUGUCCCUCUUCAUGGACAAGACCCAGGAGGCUGAUCGGCUCAUGAGCAGAGUAGCAGAACUGGGCAUUCAAAGGCUGCAGCUCUCUGAGAGGGGCUGCUUGUCCCUGAAGUUGCUCCAGGAGGCUGAAGCUGUCCUCCGCAGUGGCAGCCACAGCCACCCACACACCUGGGACCACUUGCAUGAUCAAGAGCACCUGCAUGGCCCAGACCAGCUGCAUGUCGGGGACUGUGGCGAGCAGUGCAGGGUGUGGGCCAUCUUCAGCUUUCUACUGUGGGACUGCCUGGCCGAGGCUCUGGAGGAACCAGAGAUGAAGCCCAAUAGCUGGAGUAAAGGAGGAAGCCUAGCUGGAGUGCUGCAGCAUCUCCAGGGCUGCGAGAGGGUGGAGGCUGUUCUACUGAAGGAGCUAGAGCAGUGCUGGGAGGAGGGAGGAGGUGAGAACCUACUGCAAAGCAUCAGGCUUCUGGCUCAGAUUUUGAGGGACUUGCACCCUCUUCAGAACUACCUAAAACUUUCCGGACCUGUGGAUGGACUGUACACCUGUAGACUAAGCAGGAUCCACAGGGUCACCUCUUUCCAGGGCAUUUCUGCCAGAGUCAUCCGGAAAGCCCUGAACAGUGUCAUUCCUGCCUCAGUGCACCAAGAUUUGAUGCCACGAGCGCAACAAUACAGGGAUGUGUGUCUUAAGGUUGCACGAUUGCUGCAUACAGUACAGCCAGAAAGGGGCAUUAGUGACUUCACAGAUGCUCCCAUUGCUGAAGUCACCCAGCACAUUUGCCUUGUGCUUUCAAGGCCAGCUUUUAACUCUCAAGCCUUUGACGCUGGAAUUCGGCACCGCUUACUGGCUCUCAUAGAAUUUAAUCCUGCACAACUGGGCCUUGGCCCCCUGAUGCAGCUGCACCAGGAGACCCUGUCUGACCUUCUCCACUACCUUCAGCCAGGAGAGCACCACAGCUUCUGGUUUGACGUACAAUCCGUUCGAGUGCUCGGGCAGCCGCGGCUGCUUUCAGUCAGCAGCACCAGGGGGCUGGUUGCCAUUGACAAUGGGGUGGAGGAGAACUUUCGUUUCAUAACGUCUGAGGCAACUUCCUUCCUGGUGCGGCUCCGCUGCCUUGGCUACGAGGAGGCCAAAGGACACUUCUUGGUUAGCGAGCCACACUGCUUCUCCGCCUCACAGCUGGGGGAGGAAAGCCAAUGUGCCAUUCGCUGGCUAGGGGGGCAGAUUUUGGCAGAGAAAGAAAAUAAAAUGUGGAUGAGAGAAGGAGGAAGUGGAUGGAGGGAGGAACUGCAGACUGUGGCACAGAGACAUUCUGUCCAGCUCUUUGACGAGGGCUGCCUCUUCAAGGUCACAACCUUUGAGAUAGAGUGUGAGGUCAAGUUCAUCUACAGGUGUGGGAGGCUGUGGGCUAAAGCACAGAAAGGCUGUGAGGUGCUUUGA